GCCGAAAUAGCUCAGUUGGCAGAGCAACGCAUUCGUAAUGCGUAGGUCGCGGGUUCGAGUCCCGCCUUCGGCUCAA
rnacentral:tRNA from 1 species